UGGCGCUGCCUCCUCCACUCUCCCCGGCUUGGCGUCCAAGUGCGGCUCCGGUACCCCCCGUGCCUUCUCUCCUAUCCGUCUCGCGGCGGCGUACGGGGCUACUGGAGUGGCGGAAAGAGCAGCAGCGGCAGGGAGGGGCGUACGAAGUUUUAUGCCGGCGAGUGUAUCCGAUCCAUUUAUUUGUUGAUACCAUUUAUAGCUUUGGAACAUUGCUUUAGCAGCUAGCAAAUUGUACAUGCAUGUUUGGCUUAUUCAUGCAGAUCGAGACAGCAGAUCGAGUCAGUUCAGAAUGCAUGUCAGCCUGCUAUUAAUUCGUUCAUGUAGGUUAAUUUUCGCCCAUCACAUGUAUGUAGCUAUAUGUAUCCGUAAAGCCAUAGCUUAAGUAGGCAUUGUACUGAGCUACUAGCUAGGCUAUCUUGGUGAUGAUCGAGGACAAUUAAUCAAGAUCCAGGACCUCACAUCGCGCCUGCGUGAGCUGAGGUACCGACAAUUAUAUAUAGGCCGCAUGACAAAUUAUUAAACCCAGUAUCAGCUCACAAGCUAGUUUUGUAUACAUAUUUGCAUGACAUAAUUUUAAUUUUAACCGAAAUUUGACAAUAAUACUAGUAUA